CAGCCGCCGCGGUAAUACCGGCGGCCCGAGUGGCGGUCACUAUUAUUGGGCUUAAAGCGUCCGUAGCCGGGUUGGGAAGUCCUCCGGGAAAUCUGGCCGCUUAACGGUCAGAAUGCCGGAGGAUACUCCCAGCCUAGGGGGCGGGAGAGGCCGAGGGGAUUCCCGGAGUAGGGGUGAAAUCCUAUAAUCCCGGGAGGUCCGCCUGUGGCGAAGGCGCUCGGCUGGAACGCGUCCGACGGUGAGGGACGAAGGCCAGGGGAGCAAACCGGAUUAGAUACCCGGGUAGUCCUGGCUGUAAACGAUGCGGACUUUGUGUCGGACAAGCUAUGAGCUUGUCCGGUGCCGGAGGGAAACCGUUAAGUCCGCCGCCUGGGGAGUACGGCCGCAAGGCUGAAACUUAAAGGAAUUGGCGGG
rnacentral:rRNA from 1 species